CGGCAGCGGCCGGGGCACCGCCGAAAAACGGGGGCUGCUCCUGUGCGGCAGAUGAAAGAUAAAUCCAGUCUCCAUUGCAGGCAGAAGAAUGGAGUGACCUCCUGUUCCGGAAUACUCCAGACCUGUGAAGUGAGCAGCAUCACUACUACCAGUCAACAAGAGCUACUGCAAACAUUCCUCAAUAACAUUUGCAAAGCUGCACAGAUAAGAGAGUAAAUCUAGUCCUGGUUACUAGGCUAAGUAUCUUGCUGAAGGACCUCGUCCACUACCACGAACCUGGUCCACUGAGGCUGCAGAAAAACCCAGGUUACAGACAGCAUCAGUUUCCAUUUAGAGAUGGACAAUCAAAGUUAACACAAGGAAACUGGUGUUUUUCAGCUUUUCUGAAAGGAUGAAUCCGCCAUGUCUGUGUUUCUUAAGCAAGUUGGGAUUACUUCUCAAGAACAGCUGUAUGCAUGUCACAGCUCUGCUCUUCAAUAAGCAUUCUUGUUCUUAACCUAAAAUCACUUGCAGCCAUUUUGAUGGCCAAAUUCAAGUAGAUCAACUUACAUCCUUAAAGCAACAUACAAAAAG